AGUGAAUAGAUACCCAGGUAGUCCUAGCCGUAAACGAUACUCGCUAGGCGUCGGCCACGGUGCGACCGUUGUCGGUGCCGUAAGGGAAAGCCGUGAAGCGAGCCACCUGGGAAGUACGGCCGCAAAGGCUGAAACUUAAAGGAAUUGGCGGGGGAGCACCACAACGGGUGGAGCUUGCGGUUUAAAUUGGAUUCAACGCCGGAAAUCUUACCGGGACCGACAGCAACAUGAAGGCCAGGCUGAAGACUUUACCGGAUUAGCUGAGAGGUGGUGCAUGGCCGUCGUCAGUUCGUACUGUGAAAGCAUCCUGUUAAGUCAGGCAACGAGCGAGACCCACGCCCACAGUUGCCAGCGUACUCUCCGGAGUGACGGGGUACACUGUGGGGGCCGCCGCUGCUAAAGCGGAGGAAGGAAUGGGCAACGGUAGUCAGUAUGCCCCGAAUAUCCCGGGCUACACGCGAGCUACAAUGGUUGGUACAAUGGGUAU
rnacentral:rRNA from 1 species